AAACUGGCAAAAAAUCUUUCAGGAUGUCUUCCUGAUGAUUAGUUGAACAUCCUUCACAAAAUAUGCUUGCAAUUAUUUAUGACUUCUAACCAUGCAACAGCAUGCUAAAAAGUAUUUUCAUCAUUUAUGCCUCUUAAGAGGCAGAAAGAGACCAGAGAACUACCUCUACAAGCAGGACCCAGAGUUUUCAACUCAUUGCACAAACACGGGCUGCCUACAAUGUAUAUUGCAGUGCAACAAAACAGUGGUGCUAGAAAGGAAGGCAGCUUGCCCAAGGCUGCUGGCUGCAUUGCCAGGAGAGUCAGGACCCUGGAUGAACCCAGGACUGGACAACACCAACCCCAUGUUUCAGGUAUUGCAGCUGCCUGCAGCCAGCCUUUCCAGUUGCUGUUGCACACAGAUCUGGAAGAACCCAAAUUCACCUACUGAAUGUUGCUGUCUGCCUGGAAAAAAAAUAACCCCAAAGUGUCCUUGCUUUCCAAGCUCUGAGGUUGAUUCUCCAUUCUCAUCCUUCAGCUCCAGUGCCUCAAAAACAUAUUUCCUCCUCAUGUUUUAAAGGCAUGAUGUUGUCCAAAUUCUCCUUUCUUUCCUUUGGUUCUUUUGGUUUUUACUAGCCCAUUUCCCCUGCUUUAAAGUAAAUCUCUUAAUUUGCCAUUUUUAUUCUUCUUUUUUUCCUGUACUAUGUUACAGCCUAAUGAGAUUUCCUUUAGUACAAAUGAAGACUUCUCUUAUUUGAUUCUGUCUUAUACCUCCAGUGAAAUCCUGUGUCUCAGAAGAUGACAUCUUUAGCUUCUCAACCACUUGGAGAUAUCUCAGUUUUCUUAAAUUCAUUUUAAGCCACUACAUGCAUCAUUUAUUUGUCUCUUCUUGUAUCAUUCAAAGUCUAUACUGUCAUUCUACAAAGCCAUGUGUAGAACAGCUUUAUAGAAUGGUAAACGUCACUUAUACCUCUGUGUUUGCAUAUAUUUACAUUUAAUAUGUAAAAGAUAGCAGAAAUAAAGUUAAUCCUUAAUACGUGUGUAACUGUACCUUUCAUAAUAGUGUAUUUCAGUACUUCUUCACAAUCCCACAUGUGUCAUGAUUUGGCUUAAUUUAAGACUGACAGAUGCAUCCUGCGGAGGUAUAUAUCCAUAUUCUGGAGAGAGAGAAUAUGACUUUUAUUGGUUUGUAAAGUAUCAUACUUCUAGUGAGCUUCAGAGCUGUAUGGACUCUGCAUUUCUUCUACCGGCAUUAUUAGCAUACAUUCGAUAUGCACCACAUAGAGCAUUUUUAGUGUAUCUGUCUUACCAUGAUCAGCUGUGGGUAUGGCACUGGCACUCCUGGAAACUGAAUAUG